rnacentral:sRNA from 1 species
GCAGUGGAUUUAGCCGCAAUGGUCGCGAC